rnacentral:rRNA from 1 species
AGUGAACGCUGGCGGUAGGCCUAACACAUGCAAGUCGAACGGCAGCACAGUAAGAGCUUGCUCUUACGGGUGGCGAGUGGCGUACGGGUGAGGAAUACAUCGGAAUCUACUUUUUCGUGGGGGAUAACGUAUGUAAACUUACUCUAAUACCGCAUACGACCUACGGUUGAAAGCAUUGGAUCUUCGGACCUUGCGCGAUUGAAUGAGCCGAUGUCGGAUUAGCUAGUUGGCGGGGUAAAGGCCCACCAAGGCGACGAUCCAUAGCUAGUCUGAGGGGAUGAUCAGGCACAUUGGAACUGAGACACGGUCCAGACUCGUACGGGAGGCAGCAGUGGGGAAUAUUGGACAAUGGGCGCAAGACUGAUCCAGCCAUACCGCGUGGGUGAAGAAGGCCUUCGGGUUGUAAAGCACUUUUGUUGGGAAAGAAAAGAAGCAGGUUAAUAACCCGCUGUUCUGACGGUACCAAAAGAAUAAGCACCGGCUAACUUCGUG